rnacentral:rRNA from 1 species
AUGCUGGCUCACCCGGGCGGGGUCGGGGUGGUCCGAGCUUCGGUGGCCAGGGAGCCCCUCUUCACCUUCGGCGUCAUCGCCGACGUCCAGUACGCCGACAUACCGGACGGCCGCUCCUUCCUCGGCGUGCCUCGGUACUAUCGCCACAGCAUCACCGUGCUCCAGAGGGCGGUCCGCAGCUGGAACAGCCACAAGGCCGGCGUCAAGUUCUGCGUCAACUUCGGCGACAUCGUCGACGGGUUCUGCCCCAAGGACCGGUCGCUUUCAGCCGUGCAGGCCGUCGUGGCAGAGUUCGACCGGUUCCACGGCGGCCCGGCGUACCACAUGCUCGGCAACCACUGCCUGUACAACCUCCCAAGGAGCGAGCUGGUGUCCGUGCUGCGGAUGCCUGGGCGCGCCUACUACGACUUCUCGCCGUGGCCGGGGUACAGGUUCGUGGUCCUGGACGCGUACGACUUCAGUGCCGUCGGCUGGCCGCGCGACCACCCUGUGGCGGCGGCGGCCAGGAGGUUCCUGGAGGAGAGGAACCCGAACUCGGAUAAAAACAGCCCGACCGGGCUGGCAGGGGAGGACCGGCGGUUCGUGAUGUUCAACGGCGGCGUGGGCGAGGAGCAGCUUCGGUGGCUGGACGGCGUCCUGCGGGACGCGUCGCGGCGCGGGGAGACCGUGGUGGUGUGCAGCCACCUGCCGCUCCACCCCGGUGCGGCGUCCCCCGCGGGGCUUAUGUGGAACUACGAGGAGGCGCUGGCAGUGGUGCACCGGCACGGAUGCGUCGCGGCGUGCCUCGCGGGGCACGACCACAAGGGCGGGUACGCCGUGGACGCGUGCGGCGUGCACCACCGCACCCUGGAGGCCGCGCUCGAGUGCCCGCCAGGCACCGACGCGUUUGGCCACGUCGAUGUGUUCCCCGGCAGGCUGUCGCUCGCCGGAUCCGGCAGGAUGGCGAGCACCGACAUGCUGCUCACCCUCCCUCGGCUGAGCUAG